GAUAUAAAUAUAAUUAAUAAUGCAAUAGUGUAAAAACUUUUGACACUUGGCAGAUUAUGAAUGAUGACAUCUGUUUCGACUCUCGACGCUCGAUGGCCGAAUGAUUCCGAGAGUCUACGAACGACACUCGGCUUUUGCUUAGCUCCUAUUGGCUAAGAGUUGACGACGGGAACAUCAUACGAAAAAUACCGUUUCAGACAGAUUCAUGACAUGAUAUUACGAUAUCUCAGUUGUUAGGUUGGAAUGGACCAUCUCUCCUGUAGAAGAUACGUGGUAGCUUCAACGCCAGAUACGCGGUGACGGAUAAUUUUUCAUAUACUUGGCGCCGAGACGCUACCGCGUCUCUAGAUCUCUAGAAAUACUAUGCCAGAUCUACUACUACGUGAAUCAAUCGACAAUAGGGGCGCUAAGUAACAUUUUUUCUGGAAAGAAAGCGGUAGGACAAAAAAGUUUGGGAACCGCUGCUGUAAACUGACGAGGUUCCGCGACGCGUUCCACGAUCAUGAUACGCCGAAAGCGUCGGCUAGACACUUUCCAGUUCCGGUUAUGAAACUGUCCGAAUGGAACUAGCUAGACGAACAGGUGGUUUUCGCGCAUUACGUCUACGAGCGGCAACGAUUUCCCGUUACCGAAGCGUGCCUCUGCGAACCUCCCGGCUACGUAGAAAGUUAUUUGACAUUUAGAAGGGUCUGCGGGGAAUUUUUCGACCCACCCGCGUAUACGCUCGACGCGCGAUUCAACCCGCUAGAAUCUCGAUCUUCGGGCGCUUUCACGGCACACAGAAACUUCAACGUGGUCUACAUUAAAGCUAGAAGUCCAAGUAAUAAUUAUACAAAGUUUGUUUGGUUUGGUUAUUUUAUGCAUUGCAUAACAUAAAAUAAAUCUUAAAUUAAACGUUAUCUAAUUUUAACAUUACUUUAAUAUUUAAAUAGUUUCAGAACCUCUGAUUAUUUUUUUUAUAUAUAUAAAAAAAAACUGCUGUAGACGAUAGAAACCCACUGUACAAACAAGGACAACCACUUUGUAUUAAUCUUUAGAUAUAAGAUGUAAGAUAUAAGUGUCUCUUGUAUAAAUCCAUGUAACGCCGUAUAAUUCUCAUCAUUAGAGAGUUUUAUGAAGGCUUAAUAAAUAAAAUAAAAUAAAAAAAAAAAAAAACACUAAUUAAUAUACUAGUUUUUGCUGAUAAACAGUAUUUUAAUAUUUUGUUGGGUAUCCUUUUUGACGAAGAACUUCAUUCAGACGUUGCGAAAUAUUGCAAAUAAUUUCUUUUAAAUAUACUGUAGCAAUGUCAAUCGAUUCCAUUUUUAAUCGUUUUUAGUUAUCUCUUAAACUAUGCGACCAAAUAACGCAUUAAUAUCAUUAAAUUUCCCAGGUGAUAAAAUGAUUCCUUUUUAUAAAGAUUAACAUAUUAUAGCUAAUAUGUACCCUUAAAGAUCACCUUAUAAUUUUUGUUGAAGAUGCAGUUCAUAUAUUCGCGCCACUUGCGUUGGGGCGCAUACUGCGCGAACUGGUUAUUUUUUUUGUGCGAGAUGUCACUAGGCGACUCUAAUCCAGAGACAGUGAUGGGUAAAACCUUAGGCUUCGAAUAAAUCUGAAGUUUGCCGAUGUGUUUGUUUCGUUUCCUUCUUUGGAAAAUGUUCAAACGAAGGAAACGAGACAAACACAUCGGCAAACUUCAGAUUUAUUCGAAACCUAAGGUUUUGCUCAGCACUGCCUUAAGGGGCUUGGAACAUCAAAAAAUGAAAAAAAAAUCACUUAAAAAAAUUUUUUUUUUAUUAAAAUUUAAGCAAUUCUGAACAAUUUUACGAAAAGAAAAUUGAAUUUGGAGCACCAGAAGUGAUAAAAAAAUGUUUUUGAAAAAAAAAUUUCGACGACACGAACUUAGUAAUAAGAACGCGAUAAAACUGUAAAAAUAAAUAAGGAAAUGCAACUGACAAACUUCUUGAAGAGAAAACAACGACAGUCAAAUUUGCGGAAGA